rnacentral:lncRNA from 1 species
GUUUUUAAGUUCUCGCUCCCCAGCCAAAACCUAAACAAAGAUUCCGGUUACAGCUCUUUCAGCGGCGCACGGAGGGAAAGCGGAGGUCUCCUGGAUUCCCAGGUCUUAGGUCUCCCUAAUCCUCACCAAUAUUUCUCUCUACAUUUUCGAAAGGUUUUCCCGUUAAGAUAUUGAAGGGACAAACGAACGACUAGAUUUGAAAUCAAGGAUACAAGAAAAACGAAAAGGCUUCCGGGCUUAGAGAAGGAGGACCUCAGACUGGAGUCUAAAGGGCUGGUCUGGCGUCCGCCCUGCUCCCGGCGCCCGGCGGGACUGAGACCUCACCAGCGGCAUAAUUGCCUGUGUCCAGCACGCUCCAGGGGUUACCCCGUGGUGGGAAAAUAAAUCGGCCGUGCCUUGUUGGUGCCUUCCUAUUGGACUGAAAUUUCUAGAAGCCACUGUUCAUCAAAUGAAAACCAGAGAGGAAGGCCCACUAAGAGGUCUGCCAACACCGUGGAUUUCCUGGCUCUCUCCAAGGAUUGAAUGGGGUAGGAAAGAAAACUAUGUCUGUUCCGGGGCUGUGCGGCUCGCUUGCAAGUUCGGAGGCACUAAGUGUGCCCUGCUAAACCCUUGGGGUGGGGUGCAGGAAAGGGUCUGGAGCCCGUUGAGCCAGGCCUUCGUCUAGGAUCCAAGAAAGAAUCUACCCGACACUCAGAGCUUCCACCUUGGCGAAGAGCUUCCUAAUUGGACGGCGAGCUGCUGCGAAAUCUGCAGUCUUCUAAUUACCCUUCUCCUCCUCCUUGGCGAUUCCUAUCAAAGGCAUAAAAUGGUAUUUUCACACUCUGCUCGAAAGGCAGGAGCCGUUUAUGAACAUCAAGCAUCAAUGGGGCAGAAAAAGGCUGCAUUGACAGAGGUCUCUGGAGUUCGAUAUUUAAAAGCAAUAGAUCCGAAUUAGAAAAUUAUUACUGUAGUGAAAGUCCCCGCCAAUUUAACUAUUGAACUCUGCGCUUCUGAGCUCCUUGUGCUAACUACACUUUUGAAGGGACUUAUCCCGGAACUUGAGCAAAAGGCAGGUCAUACUCUGGUUCUCAGCUUCUAAUGUUGCCCUCUCUGGAGUUGCGAUCCUCCAGAGGGCUGGCAAGGACUCACAAAAUCCUAGUCUAGACAGGGCUGGAACCUGGGGAGAAGCCUAAGUGAAGUAGCUACAGUGUCCUGACCAAAGUCUAGCUUGGCACUUUCUCCAACCCAAGACCGGAGAGAUUCACUUCCUAGUACCGCGCCUCUGCACAGUCGACCCAAGGAUUCUGGGCGGUAAUGUAACCCAAGGAUUAUCUGCUGCACUAGGGUAAUGUGUGACCUUGGCUCCCAAGAAGGAACUGUCAAUGUCCCUGAUGUGAACGCUCAGUUUUGAUCACCCUGAAACUGCAUGCAAGACACUUUGGAUUGUUGCCCACUUCGUGUGCUCAUCGGAGUCUGGAAAGUGGAGAAAAGAGAGCGUCCAGAGGUUUUGUUUUGUUUUGUUGCUAAAAGCCGGAGGCUAGGAAUCUGCUUCUGCACUCUGUGGCACAGAGGGUGAAACUUGCUAACUUUGAGACUUAAACUGGAUCCAGUCUCAGGGGGAAAACAGAGGUGAGAUUAUUCUAGAAAGAGAAGGUCGCCAAGAAGGUGGAUGCCUGAACACCGAUCUGCGGAUUUUCUGCUAGUUGAGGCU